rnacentral:rRNA from 1 species
GACGAACGCUGGCGGCGCGCUUAACACAUGCAAGUCGAACGGAAAGGCCCUGCUUUUGUGGGGUGCUCGAGUGGCGAACGGGUGAGUAACACGUGAGUAACCUGCCCUUGACUUUGGGAUAACUUCAGGAAACUGGGGCUAAUACCGGAUAGGAGCUCCUGCUGCAUGGUGGGGGUUGGAAAGUUUCGGCGGUUGGGGAUGGGCUCGCGGCUUAUCAGCUUGUUGGUGGGGUAGUGGCUUACCAAGGCUUUGACGGGUAGCCGGCCUGAGAGGGUGACCGGCCACAUUGGGACUGAGAUACGGCCCAGACGCCUACGGGAGGCAGCAGUGGGGAAUAUUGCACAAUGGGCGGAAGCCUGAUGCAGCAACGCCGCGUGCGGGAUGACGGCCUUCGGGUUGUAAACCGCUUUCGCCUGUGACGAAGCGUGAGUGACGGUAAUGGGUAAAGAAGCACCGGCUAACUACGUG